rnacentral:miRNA from 1 species
GAGGUGGGAGGACUGCUUGAAUCCAGGAGUUCGAGGCUGCAGUGAGCCGUGAUCACAUCACUGCACUCCAGCCUGAGUGACAGAGCAAGACCUUGUCUC